UACAGAGGGUGCGAGCGUUAAUCGGAAUUACUGGGCGUAAAGCGUGCGUAGACGGCUAUCUAAGUCGGGUGUGAAAGCCCCGGGCUCAACCUGGGAAUUGCAUUCGAGACUGAAUAGCUAGGGUACGGUAGAGGGAAGUGGAAUUUCCGGUGUAGCGGUGAAAUGCGUAGAUAUCGGAAGAACAUCAGUGGCGAAAGCGACUUCCUGGACCAGUACCGA
rnacentral:rRNA from 1 species